ensembl:lncRNA
GAAACGGUGUGCGUGAUGGGGUGACCUCCUCUCUCGACACUCCAUCUGUGAGAAUUUCUAACACUGCAGUUAUCAUGGCCUCACUGUGACCUGGACGGGCAGAACUCCUGGAGGCAGGAUGGGAAUAAUGGGGGAAGGAGAUGUGGGUAGAUCUAGGGAAUCACACUGGGAUGAGGUGGGGGUGAGUGGGUGCUGCUGUAUUCAGGGAUCUAUGACAUUUUUUUGUCCUCUGAGUCAUUUUCUUUGGAUACAUUACGUCCCUAGAAAGAGAAUCCAAGGAUUUUCCCUCCUGUGUGUUUUCCUCUUGCUUCUUCAUGGUCCAUGAUGUCAGUUGAGGUUGUCAGUACAAUAAAACCAAACUGAUGGGACGGGAGAAGGUUCUUUGGCCAUUUUCCUGGAUCUUUGAGGUGCACAUCAAAUCUGGGGCUGACCAUUCCACACUUACUUAGCCUGCCUAUGAGAUUCACAGCAAUUUUCCCAGUUUCCCAAUUUUCCUGUGAUCAUCAAUGAUUUCAAAUUAGCCAAUAUUACCAUGCUUCUGAGAGUUCUCAGAAACAUGGUGGAGAGUUCUGACAAAACAUGGUCCACUGGAGAAGGGAAUGGCAAACCACUUCAGUAUUCUUACCGUGAGAACCCCAUAAACAGUAUGAAAAGGCAAAAAGAUAGGACACCGAAAGAUGAACUCCCCAGGACAGUAGGUGCCCAGUAUGCUACUGGAGAUCAGUGGAGAAAUAACUACAGACAGAAUGAAGAGAUGGAGCCAAAGCAAAAACAAUGCCCAGUUUUGGAUGUGACUGGCAAGAGUACUGGAGUGGGGUGCCUUUGCCUUCUCCUAGAGGUGAACAGUCCAGUUCAUAAAACUGUCAGGGUCUAGGGCUCCACUGCUUAUGUUUCUUGGGUACCCUCAGUAACUGUUUUCCACCUCAUGGACCAAAAGGGCUGCUUGAGUACCAGCCAUUUCCCACAUUCUAACUAGGAGGAAGGGAAGGGCUUGAAGUAAAAGAUGGGGAGAGAAAAGGUCUUUAUCACCUGUCCUAAAACAAGAUCUCCCAGAAGCCAUCACUCAGUGUUUCUGUGUACAUCUCAUUGGUGGAAACAGUCUCUGGCCACACCUCGGUGCAAGACAACUUGUGACCUGAAGCCUGUGUUAUAGGUAUUCCUGAAUCCAUUUAAAAAUCAGGGCCUCAAAUAUAUGAAAGAAAGUGAGAACGGACAGUGGGCAAACGAUUAGCAGCCUUUACCAGGUGAGGUCGCCUGACAAAGACAACAUCUGCCCAGCAAACUCCACGAACUUGUGGCUCAAGGGCCUGGCUGGGUGAGGCAGGCCCUCCUGGAUACAAUUCAGCUAAGGCAGUGGGUGAUACUUGCAGGCUUUCGGUGCCAGAAUCCUCUGCCACUUCAAACAGCACUCCACCAACCCCUCAACCCCACUCAGCCAGACUGUAUUUGUAGGAGACUCACUUGCCAAUGACCGAUUACUCUGAUUUUUCCCUGAAAUGACUUUGGUCUAAGGGGACAGACUAUUAAAAAACAACAACAACUAAAGAGGAUUUCUUGGGUCAGAAUAAAGGCUUCAGUGCCUCCUGGCUGCCUCCCAUACUUUUGGGGCAGAAGAGGAAUAUUUUUCUGGCUGUUUACAAAGAAAUGAGAGUAAUAUUCAUUUUGCAGUUCAUAGAGGGUGAAAAGGCCUAUUUUGUGGGAAAGUUUGCUAUGCUAAUAAGCAGUUUUUAUAGUUCCUUGAGAUACUGGCUUUGAGGCAAGGGGAAUGAAAAAUGAUUUCUGGUCAAACAAACUUGAGGAUCGUGUACUCUAUAAUCUUCUGUUAUUCUUAUUUAAGUCACUUCAGUCAUGUCUGACUGUGUGACCCCACAGACGGCAGCCCACCAGCCUCCCCCGUCCCUGGGAUUCUCCAGGCAAGAACACUGGAGUGGGUUGCCAUUUCCUUCUCCAGUGCAUGAAAGCGAAAAGUGAAAGUGAAGUCACUCAGCCGUGUCCGACUCUUCAUGACCCCAUGGACUGCAGCCUACCAGGCUCCUCCAUCCAUGAGAUUUUCCAGGCAAGAGUACUGGAGUGGGGUGCCAUUGCCUUCUCCGAUAAUCUUCUGUUAGAGGGUCACAAUACGUAAUAAUACACUAAGCUCUGAGACGUUCUGCAGUAAGGAAGUCCCCAGCCUGAAAUGGUGUGACUCAGAUUGGGACUUGCUCAGUCUUUUAACUGAGAUCACACCGGGUCACAGGACUUAAUGAAGCCUGGGUUCUUGACGUCUCAUCACAGAAAGAAUUAAGUGAGAGACAGUAUGAUAGGUAAGAAGUGGAUUUAUUUAGAGCGGAACACGCUUCACAGAGCGUAGGCCAUCUUAGAAGGCAAGAGCUGCAGCAAGGUAUGAGGUGGUCAGUUUUUAUAGGAGUGUGUAAUCUCAUAGGCUAGUGACUUGGAGGAAUUGUUGUCCGGUCGCUCAGUCAUGUCAGCCUCUGCAGCCCGUGAGCUGCAGCACACCAGGCUUCCCUGUCUUUCACUAUCUCCCCAAGUUUGCUCAAACACAUGUCCAUUGAUUUCAUAAUGCUAUCCAACCAUCUCAUCCUCUGUCAUCCCCUUCUUCUCCU